AAUAGUUUAUUUGUUGAUUUAGGAAAAGUAAUUUUUUGUUUAAGUAAUUUUGUUGGAAUAAUUAAUUUUAUAAUAGAGAAUUUUUACAGUAAUGGAUUUUUUUUUAAUUUAUAAAAAGAAUAUUUUGUUUAUAGUACCUUGUGUAUCAGGGUUGAUUAAAUAUAAGGUUUAAAUAAGUUUUUCCCGAAUUCUGAGGAGUUAAAGUAUUAUGUAUUUUAUUGUGGAAUAACUAUUUAUAAUAAUAUUUUAGGAGUGAAAUUUUAGUCGUUUUGGAAUAUAUCUGGUUUUUUAAGAAAUGAAUUUAAUUUACUAAAAUUGUAAAAUAUGAUUUAUUGAUAGGUAAGUUUUAAGAUUUUAGGAAUAUUUAUGGGGAUAAGCUUGUAGAUUUAAUUUUAUAAAAAUUGAUAUAGAAUAUUAAAUAGGAUUAGUAGUGUUCAUUUUUAGGAGUUUUUAAUAAGACAGUAUUUUUAAAAGUGAUUUUUUUUUUUAAGUUUUUUAUUGAAAUAAUUGGUUUAAUGGAAUUUUUGAUGAAAUAAUGAUUAAAUUAGUAUAUUUUGUGUAAAUUUGAUUAUAAGUAUAAGGUAGGGCGAAGGAACUCGGCAAUUUUAUUUUCUGCCUGUUUAUUAAAAACAUGGUCUUUUGAGAUAAUUUAAGAUUUGACCUGCCCUAUGAUUAUUUAAAUGGCCGCGGUAUAUUGACCGUGCAAAGGUAGCAUAAUCAUUAGUUUUUUAAUUGAAAGCUGGAAUGAAUGGUUUGACAAGAAAAUAUCUGUCUCCACUUUAUUUUUAGAAUUUUAUUUUUGAGUGAGAACGCUUAAAUGGAGUUAAGGGACGAGAAGACCCUUUAGAAUUUUAUGUGAUUAUAAGUUAAGAUUUAAGGUAAGAUUGGUUUAAGCUUAUGUAGUGCAUUUUGUUGGGGUGAUUGAAAAAUUUAAUAAACUUUUUUUUAUUAAUACACUGAUUAGUGAUUGUUUGAUCCAUGUUUUAUGAUUAUAAGAUUAAAUUACCUAAGGGAUAACAGCGUUAUUAAUUCGUAGAGUUCUAAUUGAUGAAUUAGUUUGCGACCUCGAUGUUGGAUUAAAAUUAACGGUUGGUGCAGGAGCUAGCAUGUUAAGUCUGUUCGACUUUUAAAAUUUUACAUGAUCUGAGUUUAAACCGGCGUGAGCCAGGUUGGUUUCUAUCUUUAACAAUAAAGAAUACUUUAGUACGAAAGGAUUAAGUAUUUUCUAAGUUAGAUUGUUUUGAU
rnacentral:rRNA from 1 species